rnacentral:rRNA from 1 species
UACGUAGGGCGCAAGCGUUGUCCGGAAUUAUUGGGCGUAAAGAGCUCGUAGGCGGCUUGUCACGUCGGAUGUGAAAGCCCGAGGCUUAACCUCGGGUCUGCAUUCGAUACGGGCUAGCUAGAGUGUGGUAGGGGAGACUGGAAUUCCUGGUGUAGCGGUGAAAUGCGCAGAUAUCAGGAGGAACACCGGUGGCGAAGGCGGGUCUCUGGGCCGAUAUUGACGCUGAGGAGCGAAAGCGUGGGGAGCGAACAGG